UACGGGGGGUGCGAGCGUUGUCCGGAAUCACUGGGCGUAAAGGGCGCGUAGGUGGUUUGAUAAGGGUGUGGUGAAAGUCCGGAGCUCAACUCCGGAUCUGCCGUGCCGACUGUCAAACUCGAGGGCUGUAGAGGCAGACGGAAUUCCGGGUGUAGUGGUGGAAUGCGUAGAGAUCGGGAAGAACAUCAGUGGCGAAGGCGGUCUGCUGGGCCGUUGCUGACGCUGAGGCGCGACAGCGUGGGGAGCAAACAGG
rnacentral:rRNA from 1 species